AGGAGAACCAUGAAGUGGGAAAAGAAGGUGGAGAGAGAAGCCACCGCCAAGGGCUGCUUCCAAUAGACCAAAAGCCUGCCUGAAAUGUGCAAUCACUUCCGUACCCACUGUCCACUUCAGGACGGAUGAGGGGAACCGGUGAAGGCUGAAGAUGCAACUCCUCCCCCACCCGUCUCCUUGGGAAGGUGUGCCUCACAGUCAGGAUGCAAGACAGGUAGCUAGCAGCGAUGCUGUAGAGAAAUGUGAAGAGCCUACCAGGACUUCAGUUGUCUUUGGUCACGGGACCACUUUGGAAGCAAAACCACUUUCCUCCGAUCUCCCAGGGCGUCUAGCCCCUCCCCCAAGGUUAUGAUCUGUAACAAAUACAACCAGAGUCCAGACUCAGCUCACACACCUUCGUCUGCUCCAGGUCGGACUUCGGAGAAAGAGAUUUUUAGUUUUUGAA